rnacentral:lncRNA from 1 species
UGCCCCCCCUCUUGGAUGAUUUUUUUCUCUUCUCCUGGUAUCAUGUUUAUAGCUUUCAUGAAAAGUCUUAGAUGUAUCCAACUUCCUGGUUACUCAUGGAUUUCCUUUUUUAUAGGUUUUAAAACCUUAGCGGCCAUUGCAUCGUGCAUCUUAGGUGCUUUCAUUUGAGUCCUAGGUGGCCGUUUGCCUAAAUUGAACCAUGCCAGCCCACGUUCAAAUUGAUCCCCACCGCUCACUCGUUCCCAAUCUUGCCCACACCCGAACCAAAC